GAUGAACGCUGGCGGCGUGCCUAAUACAUGCAAGUCGAGCGAACGGACGAGAAGCUUGCUUCUCUGAUGUUAGCGGCGGACGGGUGAGUAACACGUGGAUAACCUACCUAUAAUACUGGGAUAACUUCGGGAAACCGUAUCUAAUACUGGAUAAUAUUUUGAACCGCAUGGUUCAAAAGUGAAAGACGGCUUUGCUGUCACUUAUAGAUGGAUCCGCGCUGCAUUAGUUAGUUGGUAAGGUAACGGCUUACCAAGGCUACGAUGCGUAGCCGACCUGAGAGGGUGAUCGGCCACACUGGAACUGAGACACGGUCCAGACUCCUACGGGAGGCAGCAGUAGGGAAUCUUCGGCAAUGGGCGAAAGCCUGACGGAGCAACGCCGCGUGAGCGAUGAAGGUCUUCGGAUCGUAAAACUCUGUUAUUGGGGAAGAACAUAUGUGUAAGUAACUGUGCACAUCUUGACGGUACCUAAUCAGAAAGCCACGGCUAACUACGUG
rnacentral:rRNA from 1 species